rnacentral:rRNA from 1 species
AGCGAACGCUGGCGGCAGGCUUAACACAUGCAAAUCGAGCGGGCGUAGCAAGUACGUCAGCGGCAGACGGGUGAGUAACGCGUGGGAACAUACCUUUUGGUUCGGGAACAACACAGGGAAACUUGUGCUAAUACCGGAUAAGCCCUUACGGGGAAGAUUUAUCGCCGAAAGAUUGGCCCGCGUCUGGAUUAGCUAGUUGGUGAGGUAACGGCUCACCAAGGCGACGAUCAGUAGCUGGCUGAGAGGAUGAUCAG